UACAGAGGUCUCAAGCGUUGUUCGGAUUCAUUGGGCGUAAAGGGCGCGUAGGCGGCGGGGUAAGUCGGGUGUGAAAUCUCGAGGGCUCAACCCUGAAACUGCACUCGAUACUGCUCUGCUUGAGGACUGGAGAGGAGACUGGAAUUCACGGUGUAGCAGUGAAAUGCGUAGAUAUCGUAAGGAAGACCAGUGGCGAAGGCGGGUCUCUGGACAGUUCCGUGACG
rnacentral:rRNA from 1 species